GAUGAAGAACGCAGCGAAAUGCGAUACUUGGUGUGAAUUGCAGAAUCCCGUGAACCAUCGAGUCUUUGAACGCAAGUUGCGCCCGAAGCCAUUAGGCCGAGGGCACGCCUGCCUGGGUGUCACACACCGUUACCCUCGCGCCAACGUCCAUCGUUGGCCGCGGCGCGGGGCGUGCGCUGACCUCCCGCGAGCGGGGUCUCGUGGUUGGUUGAAAAUCGAGUUCGCGGUCGAGGGUGCCGUGAUGAAAUGGUGGAUGGGCGACGCCCGAGGCCAAUCACGCGCGACUCUGUCCGCUCGGACUCCUGGACCCCUUCGGCGUCUCCGGACGCUCUUUGGCGAGACCUCAGGUCAGGCGGGGCUACCCGCUGAGUUUAAGCAUAUCAAUAAGCGGAGGA
rnacentral:misc_RNA from 1 species